AUCACCUUAGUAACAGCUCUCAAAUCUGUUACCAUUCACCAUUUUUCAGAUUUCUUUUUAAUGACAAAUUUUGGAGAAUUCCAAGGACUGGUCAAUUCUUCUAUAUGUUAAGGAUUUAGAUGCUCCUCUACUAGCUGUUCUGGUACCUUUAGGUUUUUCUGAUGUCAAAGGCCAUUGUUCAACCUAGACAUAAUAAAACAUGAAUUACCAAGCUGAUAGUAAUUAUAGUCAGCAUCAUGUCAAUCUCAGAUGGUGAUUUCCUGAACAACCUCUUACAACCUAUAGCAUGGAUGUCAUUCUGAAGUCAGUGGAUCUG